rnacentral:misc_RNA from 1 species
ACAUCCCCUUGCCAAACCUCGGCUCACUUCCGCUCUCGCCUCUCUCCUCGUCGGCUCUGUUGCGCAGUCUCGACAGCCCUGCCGUUCUUUCUCCCGUCCACCACCGCGUUUCCCUUGUCAGCUGUCGGCGUUGUGGAUCCGCGAAAAUGGCGUGCAACAUCGGCAUGUUCCUCUACGCCAUCCUGCAGUUCAUCGCGUUCCUCUUCGUGGUGGUGGCUACGCCGAUCGACAUUUUUCUGGAGGUGAUCGAGGGAACUCAGACCGACGGUUGCCUGACUUUGUGGGGUUUUAAAAGGAACUGCAGCAGCACAGCUUACUUGGUAAAGUCAGACGAGCUCUGGGCAAACUGCAUGGGCCGCCGCAACCGCUUCCGUGCAGCACAGGCAUUCGCUGUCAUCUCCAUAUUCGUGUACGGCACGGCGUUCGUCUUGGGCCUCAUUGCGCUGUGCUGCUGCGCCUGCCUCCGCUGGGUCUGCCUGGCGCUCAACGUUGCCGGCAUCGCCACCCUGUGCAUCGUCUGGGCGUCCAUGGUGGUGACCUUCAACAAGGAUGAGGGCGAAGACUGUCCGGCUCUGAACGUCAUCACGAAGAUCGGAGUCGGCUUGAUUCUCUUGGUGGUGGCCUGGUGCCUGGAUAUCAUCAACAUCGCCCUCUUGCUGCUCCCGUGGCAGGAUAGGGACUCUGAUAAGCUCGGAAAGUAGGCGCAGUAGACAAGGCCCUGAGAGGAGGCUGUGAAGUGAAGUGAAGGAAGCGGCCGGCGAGCCUGACAGCAGCGCGGCACACACACCGUGACGCCCUCGUGGAGGAGCCGGCGGAGCUGAUCGCAGCGAGAGAGAGGGAGCGGAUGCCGCUGACCCUCGCCGGCCCACCUCUCUCGCUGCCUUCUCGUGCGUGCGUGUGCGCUUCCUCUGGGGUCGUUCUCCCCCUCCCUCCAAAUGCCGGUGCCGUGCACGGCGACCUGCGCUGUGUGGUGGGCAACGCGCGCCUGGCGCCGACAAGCCCAUCCAUGCCCCGUCCCCCCUCUAAGCCCCUCGCCCUCGCUGCCGUGUCGGAGUCGCCUCCCUGACGCUCGCCCGGCGCUCCGUUGGCGAUGUGAGGGCGCGAAGGAGGGGCGGGUGGCCGAGGUGGGCACGGAGGGCAAAGACAGCGGCGCGGAGAAACGGACGCCCUCGCACGGAGGACGGGAGGCGCCGCGCCACGCCGCAUCGGUCACCCACCCCCGCCCCUUCCACACCCCGUAGUCGCCAUGGCGCGUCUCUCUGGUGUCUCCGCACCACCCCGCGCCCCUGGCGGCACACCCGCGACGGGAAGAGGCACCACAGCGGCACGAAGACGCAGGCCGAGCACGGUCCCCCCCCCUCCUACACACACGCGCACGCAUAUGCUGCCGGUGUUUCCGUUUCUGUUUUCGUGCUUUCGCUUGAUUUGACGCUCGCAUGUUUCCUUCGAUUUCUCCUCGUUUUCGUCUCUCUCCCUAUACAGAGAAGAGUCGCAUGGACGUGUGCGUGUGCGUGCCCCUCUGCCAUUUUCCCGUUGUGUCUCCGUGCCGCUGCCCUGCUCCUCGUCUUCCCCGCCCCCUCCAUGCGCGUGUGCGUGUGCGGGCGAGGCGGCUGAUCGAGGGGACGACGAGGUGGAGAGCAGCCACGGCACCGCAGCGCUGGGGAUACAUGGGCAGUGUGCAGGAGCAGCGGAGGAGAGGCACGCACACGCACUCUGGCAAGGGAGUAGUGGUGCGGAGGCCGCAGGGGAAUACGCAGCGGAGCGAGUGGGUACGGAGGCGGAGCGGAGGAGAGGCAGCGCUGCUUCUCUGUUCGCCCCGCUUGCGUUGGACUCGAGUGUGUCUGCGUGUGCGCCCCCUGCGGCCCUGGGCCCCCUCGCCUCUCUUGCGCGCUUCGCGUCGCUUGUUUCGUUGCUGUGGCUGUCUAACUACGCCAUCGAGUCGGCCAGAGUCGCGUGCGCGGAGUAUUCACACCAUAUUACGGCAUGCGGCAUGCACCUACACCAGCCCCUGCGGCCUGCACGGCAGACGCCGCCGCCUCCGCCCUCGAGCAGGACCCUGCACCGGGGUCCGUGUGGCGCCGGUCGCGCUGCACGCGUGCGAGGGCGAUACGCGGAGGGACAAGGCGAGCCCGCUAGCAGCAUGGCCCGACUCGACGGCUGAACGGCUCGUCGUGGACGGCGCGGAUGUGGCCGCCGUGCGACAGGGGUGGGUGGGCUGCGGCUGUAUGCGUACACGUGUCGACUGGGGCGUGGUGUAACGGCAAGCAGGGACGAAUUUGUAUACAUUAAGCUGCUCUAACAAGCAAGUGACAGGGGAUGAAAUACUCAUGAGCACUUUGGAGGAAGGAAGCCGCGCUCGUGGUUUGCAGAAAACCCCCCGGACUUUGUUUUCCCCGCCGACCGCCGCCCCCGUGUGCUCGCCCGAGCGGACGGAGCGCGUGCGCGUGCGCCCUUUUCUCCUCGUGCUUCUCCAUUGCUUGUUUUUUGCUUUCUGUCUUUUGUUGUUGUCUCCGUUCCUCGACUG